AGAGUUUGAUCCUGGCUCAGGACGAACGCUGGCGGCGUGCCUAACACAUGCAAGUCGAACGGAGUUGAAAGGAGCUUGCUUUUUUCAACUCAGUGGCGGACGGGUGAGUAACGCGUGAGUAACCUGCCUUUCAGAGGGGGAUAACGUUCUGAAAAGAACGCUAAUACCGCAUAAGAUUGUAGCUUCGCAUGGAGCAGCAAUCAAAGGAGCAAUCCGCUGAAAGAUGGACUCGCGUCCGAUUAGAUAGUUGGCGGGGUAACGGCCCACCAAGUCGACGAUCGGUAGCCGGACUGAGAGGUUGAUCGGCCACAUUGGGACUGAGACACGGCCCAAACUCCUACGGGAGGCAGCAGUGGGGAAUAUUGCACAAUGGGGGAAACCCUGAUGCAGCGACGCCGCGUGAGUGAAGAAGUAUUUCGGUAUGUAAAGCUCUAUCAGCAGGGAAGAAAGUGACGGUACCUGAAUAAGAAGCCCCGGCUAACUACGUGCCAGCAGCCGCGGUAAUACGUAGGGGGCAAGCGUUGUCCGGAUUUACUGGGUGUAAAGGGAGCGUAGACGGCAAGGCAAGUCUGAAGUGAAAGCCCGGUGCUUAACGCCGGGACUGCUUUGGAAACUGUUUAGCUGGAGUGCCGGAGAGGUAAGCGGAAUUCCUAGUGUAGCGGUGAAAUGCGUAGAUAUUAGGAAGAACACCAGUGGCGAAGGCGGCUUACUGGACGGUAACUGACGUUGAGGCUCGAAAGCGUGGGGAGCAAACAGGAUUAGAUACCCUGGUAGUCCACGCCGUAAACGAUGAUUGCUAGGUGUAGGUGGGUAUGGACCCAUCGGCGCCGCAGCUAACGCAAUAAGCAAUCCACCUGGGGAGUACGUUCGCAAGAAUGAAACUCAAAGGAAUUGACGGGGGCCCGCACAAGCGGUGGAGUAUGUGGUUUAAUUCGAAGCAACGCGAAGAACCUUACCAGGCCUUGACAUCCCUUGCAGAGGUAUAGAGAUAUAUCCGAGGUUACCAAGGAGACAGGUGGUGCAUGGUUGUCGUCAGCUCGUGUCGUGAGAUGUUGGGUUAAGUCCCGCAACGAGCGCAACCCUUGUGAUAUGUUACUAACAUUGAGUUGAGGACUCAUAUCAGACUGCCGGUGAUAAACCGGAGGAAGGUGGGGAUGACGUCAAAUCAUCAUGCCCCUUAUGGCCUGGGCUACACACGUACUACAAUGGCGUCUACAAAGAGCGGCAAGCCUGUGAAGGCAAGCGAAUCUCGUAAAGGACGUCUCAGUUCGGAUUGAAGUCUGCAACCCGACUUCAUGAAGCUGGAAUCGCUAGUAAUCGCGAAUCAGCAUGUCGCGAUGAAUACGUUCUCGGGCCUUGUACACACCGCCCGUCA
rnacentral:rRNA from 1 species